rnacentral:lncRNA from 1 species
AAGCGACCAUGCCCUGUGAGGUAUGGCCACCGCAACACCGAGGCACUCUUUAUUAAACACCGAAACUUGGGUUCUGGCACCCCUUUCAGACAUGAAUCAGCUUCGUUCCUCCUCCAGGGCCUCCCUCUGGUGGCUCUGGUUCCCACUGCUCCACUCCACACCCUCUAACAGGGUGCUACAGGACCUGGGAGGAAGAGCCCUUCUUUGCGGAAUGCUAGACUGGACAGGGAAGAACGCCUCAAGUGAGCACGCCUACAACUCCAGUAAACACCCUGCGCACGCUCCCCCACAACCCCCGUGUGCUAGCACGCCAAUGCACAUGCGGACAGCCCACCCCAAGGGAAGAAUCAGAGAAGAAGGAACGCAAGACCCCGGAAGUAUGGCAGCAUAUAAAACCCCA